AUCACCGUCUAUGCCCGGCCCACCCGCGGCCCACCCGCGGUGCUCAUCAGUUCUCACCGGAGUGUGUGGAACUCAAGCCCCCGGCCGGUCAUCGAAGAAUAGCGGUCGUUAAAUAUUCAUCCUCCGUUCCCGGUGGCACACUUUUCCUCUCUACCGACCGACCCCUGCUGCUCUGAGCCGGGAGCCGCGUCAGAGGAGCAGCAGAGAUGAUGGGGAAACGCGACUACGGAGCUCCAGUGAGGGUGUUCCGGAGGAGAGGAGCCUUCAUGGGGACCAGAUUUGGGCAGUGUGGAACUGCUUUGGCCAUGUGGACCUGUCCUCAAUCAGAACCUGCAUAUAGUGCUUGCGCAAGGUCAACUAGGCAUAUCUAAACCAAGGAAUCUUUUAAAGGUUUACAGCAUCCUAAAGAGAGGGCAUGGUGUGCUCCUAGCCACUUGUGAAAAUGCCCAAGAAAGACCCCAAGAAGGAUGCAAAGAAGGGUGGAAAACCUGAACCAGAGAAGAAGAAAGAGGAGGAAACGAAAGGGAAGGAUGACAAAAAGGGAGGAAAAGACAACAAGAAACCUAGCAAAGAUGAUAAGAAAGGUGGAAAGGAUGAUAAGAAGGGGGGCAAGAAGGGAAAGGAGGAGCCAC